rnacentral:rRNA from 1 species
UACAGGGGGGCAAGCGUUGUUCGGAAUUACUGGGCGUAAAGGGUGCGUAGGCGGCGCGGUAAGUCGGGUGUGAAAUCUCGGAGCUUAACUCCGAAACUGCAUUCGAUACUGCCGUGCUUGAGGACUGGAGAGGAGACUGGAAUUACGGUGUAGCGGUGAAAUGCGUAGAUAUCGUAAGGAAGACCAGUGGCGAAGGCGGGUCUCUGGACAGUUCCUGACGCUGAGGCACGAAGGCCAGGGGAGCAAACGGG